UAUAUUUUAGUAUAUGAUGUACAUUAAUUUUUGAUAUUAACAGUAAUAGUUAAAUUCUAUUAAAUAUA
rnacentral:tRNA from 1 species